GGGGCUAUAGCUCAGCUGGGAGAGCGCCUGCCUUGCAUGCAGGAGGUCAGCGGUUCGAUCCCGCUUAGCUCCACCA
rnacentral:tRNA from 1 species